AUGGGCAGCGCCGGGCAGCAUGGUCCUGCAUGGCCGGACGGCACAGCACGGCACGGCACGGCGCGGCGCGGCUGUCCCGGUGCAGCACGGCGUGAGCAGCCUGGCAUGGCAUGGGCAGCACGGCGCAGCACAGCUCGGCGCAGCACAGCACGGCACAGCAUGGAUGGCGCAUGUGCAACCGGGAUGGUGCAACGGCGCGGGCUCAUCCCUGCUGCUGCGGACCUGCAGCCCCGCUGGCUUCUGGGGAUGGCCAUGGGGAUGGGGACAUUCCCAGCCGCUGGUCCCAAAUUGCAGCUGCAGCAUGAGCACCACGCAGAGCAAUGCACGAGCCGGAGGGGCUUCCUGCCCCGUGCAGCGAGGCGUCUGCCCCGGCCUGCUCUCUGCAUGGCACGACUCCCCCUCGGUGUGGUGCUGAGCCCCCCUCCGCUGUCAUCAGCCCGUGCCCCCCCCGGCCAGCUGGGGACUGGGGUCUCUCUCCCACAGCCGCUUGGGCAGAGCAGCCCGAGGCAAGAGAAAGAACUUGUUAGAAAACCGAAAGGCUGCUCCGGGUUGCAGGUGGGAGGGAGGAAACGCGUCCUAAAAAUACAGCAGCGCCUGCACGGUCCCCGAAGGAGGCUCGGCAGAUGGCACGUCUCGGGCGGCCACCUGGGCUCCCGCAGAUGGCACCCGGGGCUCCCUGCUCCGUGCCCCCGCCCAGGGCUCCCAGGGAGCUGUGCCCGGGAAAGGGCAGCAGGAUGCGGGCGCGGGAGGGUGCUCGGCGGCUUCCCGGACGCCAUGGGGCCACGGCUGGGGACAGAGCGGGGCAAAGCGGGGGGAAACAGGAAGGUUUGGGGUCGGAGCUGCCGCCGGGGCCCCUUGGCCGAGCGCCGCGCUGCUGGGCGAAGCGGGGCGCCCGGGAGGGAAGUGCGGGCGGCUCCGCGUGCUGCGGGGGCACGGGGGAAGCCCUGGCACGGGGCCACGGCGCCGGCAAAAGGACCACACGGCUACGAGCCACGGACCCAAACCAGCCGGGACGGCGUGCAGCCCGCGUGCCCGGGGUGCAGGCUCCGGGGGGGGGGACGGGACGCUGUGGCUGCCCCCGUGCAAACCCCUGCCCCGCUGCAGCAAGCACCCCCAUCCCACGUGCCGGGGGGUGUCCCAGCUCCGUCCUCCCCUGCCGGCGAUGCCCGUGGCCGGCUGCCGAGGGACGAGGGCUCGCCGCAAGGGCCUCACGGCCGCGCCGGCCGGGGCAUGGGCAGAGGUUUCUGCGGCGGCGGGGCUGCGCCGCCGGGCGAGCGCUGCCGGCCCGCGAGGCUGCAGGUUUCCGUCCGCUGUCGUGUGCUCUCGCCUCUUCCCCUUUUAUUCCUCGCCGGGCUGCCGGUGGGCGCAGCGCCUCCGGCUGGGGGUUUUGCUGGGACGCCCUGCGACGAGGGCACGGGCUCCCCUCCGGCUAGAUAUCGGAAGCGUGCAGGGGAUUAA
rnacentral:lncRNA from 1 species